AUUGAACGCUGGCGGCAUGAUUUACACAUGCAAGUCGAACGGUAACAGGCCGCAAGGUGCUGACGAGUGGCGAACGGGUGAGUAAUGCAUCGGAACGUGCCCAGUCGUGGGGGAUAACUACUCGAAAGAGUAGCUAAUACCGCAUACGAUCUAUGGAUGAAGGCGGGGGACCGUAAGGCCUCGCGCGAUUGGAGCGGCCGAUGUCAGAUUAGGUAGUUGGUGGGGUAAAGGCUCACCAAGCCAACGAUCUGUAGCUGGUCUGAGAGGACGACCAGCCACACUGGGACUGAGACACGGCCCAGACUCCUACGGGAGGCAGCAGUGGGGAAUUUUGGACAAUGGGCGCAAGCCUGAUCCAGCAAUGCCGCGUGCAGGAAGAAGGCCUUCGGGUUGUAAACUGCUUUUGUACGGAACGAAACGGCUCUGGUUAAUACCCGGGGCUAAUGACGGUACCGUAAGAAUAAGCACCGGCUAACUACGUG
rnacentral:rRNA from 1 species